UACGUAGGGUGCGAGCGUUGUCCGGAAUUAUUGGGCGUAAAGGGCUCGUAGGCGGUCUGUCGCGUCGGGAGUGAAAACUCAGGGCUUAACCCUGAGCCUGCUUCCGAUACGGGCAGACUAGAGGUAUGCAGGGGAGAACGGAAUUCCUGGUGUAGCGGUGCAAUGCGCAGAUAUCAGGAGGAACACCGGUGGCGAAGGCGGUUCUCUGGGCAUUACCUGACGCUGAGGAGCGAAAGUGUGGGGAGCGAACAGG
rnacentral:rRNA from 1 species